ACGAACGCUGGCGGCGUGCCUAAUACAUGCAAGUCGAACGAGUCCUCCCAAUUUGAUUUUAUGCUUGCAUAAAUGAUUUUUGGAUUCGGGACGAGUGGCGAACUGGUGAGUAACACGUGGGUAACCUGCCCUAAAGCAGGGGAUAACAUUUGGAAACAGAUGCUAAUACCGUAUAAUUAGUUGGAACCACAUGGUUCCAACUUGAAAGAUGGCUCUGCUAUCACUUUAGGAUGGACCCGCGGCGUAUUAGCUAGUUGGUGAGAUAAAAGCUCACCAAGGCGAUGAUACGUAGCCGACCUGAGAGGGUAAUCGGCCACAUUGGGACUGAGACACGGCCCAGACUCCUACGGGAGGCAGCAGUAGGGAAUCUUCCACAAUGGACGAAAGUCUGAUGGAGCAACGCCGCGUGAGUGAAGAAGGGUUUCGGCUCGUAAAACUCUGUUGUUAAAGAAGAACAAGUGUAAGAGUAACUGUUUACGCUUUGACGGUAUUUAACCAGAAAGCCACGGCUAACUACGUGCCAGCAGCCGCGGUAAUACGUAGGUGGCAAGCGUUGUCCGGAUUUAUUGCGCGUAAAGCGAGCGCAGGUGGUCUUUUAAGUCUGUUGUGAAAGCCCUCAGCUCAACUGAGGAAGUGCAGCGGAAACUAGGAGACUUGAGUACAGAAGAGGAUAGUGGAAACUCCAUGUGUAGCGGUGAAAUGCGUAGAUAUAUGGAAAGGACACCAGUGGCGAAGGCGGCUAUCUGGUCUGUUACUGACACUGAGGCUCGAAAGCAUGGGUAGCGAACAGGAUUAGAUACCCUGGUAGUCCAUGCCGUAAACGAUGAAUACUAGGUGUUGGAGGGUUUCCGCCCUUCAGUGCCGCAGCUAACGCAUUAAGUAUUCCGCCUGGGGAGUACGACCGCAAGGUUGAAACUCAAAGGAAUUGACGGGGGCCCGCACAAGUGGUGGAGCAUGUGGUUUAAUUCGAUGCUACGCGAAGAACCUUACCAGGUCUUGACAUCUUCUGCCAACCUAAGAGAUUAGGCGUUCCCUUCGGGGACAGAAUGACAGGUGGUGCAUGGUUGUCGUCAGCUCGUGUCGUGAGAUGUUGGGUUAAGUCCCGCAACGAGCGCAACCCUUAUUAUUAGUUGCCAGCAUUAAGUUGGGCACUCUAGUGAGACUGCCGGUGAUAAACCGGAGGAAGGUGGGGAUGACGUCAAAUCAUCAUGCCCCUUAUGACCUGGGCUACACACGUGCUACAAUGGAUGGUACAACGAGUCGCGAAACCGCGAGGUCAAGCUAAUCUCUUAAAGCCAUUCUCAGUUCGGAUUGCAGGCUGCAACUCGCCUGCAUGAAGUUGGAAUCACUAGUAAUCGUGGAUCAGCAUGCCACGGUGAAUACGUUCCCGGGCCUUGCACACACCGC
rnacentral:rRNA from 1 species